rnacentral:rRNA from 1 species
GAUGAACGCUGGCGGCGUGCCUAAUACAUGCAAGUCGAGCGAACGGACGAGAAGCUUGCUUCUCUGAUGUUAGCGGCGGACGGGUGAGUAACACGUGGAUAACCUACCUAUAAGACUGGGAUAACUUCGGGAAACCGGAGCUAAUACCGGAUGAUAUUUUGAACCGCAUGGUUCAAAAGUGAAAGACGGUCUUGCUGUCACUUAUAGAUGGAUCCGCGCUGCAUUAGCUAGUUGGUAAGGUAACGGCUUACCAUGGCAACGAUGCAUAGCCGACCUGAGAGGGUGAUCGGCCACACUGGAACUGAGACACGGUCCAGACUCCUACGGGAGGCAGCAGUAGGGAAUCUUCCGCAAUGGGCGAAAGCCUGACGGAGCAACGCCGCGUGAGUGAUGAAGGUCUUCGGAUCGUAAAACUCUGUUAUUAGGGAAGAACAUAUGUGUAAGUAACUGUGCACAUCUUGACGGUACCUAAUCAGAAAGCCACGGCUAACUACGUG